rnacentral:sRNA from 1 species
CUUUAGCCCUGAUCGAAGCGGCAUCCUUUUUUUAAGGUAGUAGGUUGUAAACCUGCUGGCUUAAAAAAAGAUAUAGCGUAGAGCAGGACGAUAU